rnacentral:snRNA from 1 species
CUUUAAAAUAAAAUAAAAUAAAUUUAAAUAUUGGAAUGAUACAGAAGAUUAGCAUGGCCCCUGUGCAAGGAUGACAUGCAAAUUCAUGAAGUGUCCCAUAGUUUU